rnacentral:lncRNA from 1 species
AGAAGGAACAACUGUCUUGAAUAUGUCGAAAAUUGCUGUCUUUAAGAUGAAGCACCCAGAGGACCACAAUCCUCGGAUUUUAUGAGAAGACCUUCUGCCCUGCCUGCCCUUUUGAGACCUUUAUCUGAAAAGGAACCUGCAAUCCUAGAAAAGAGGUGGAGGCAGGCUUGAUUCAGUUAAGGAAGUUCUUUCUUCUCAGCAAUUACCACGCCAAUUCUGUGGAAAAGCAACAUUUGGAAGACGAGAGAAAUCCACUGUAGGAAGUAUUAGAAAUACCUGCAAUUAGGCUUCAAACAAGCAAAUGAGGCAGGUCUAUUCCCCAGGCCUAACAAGUCUUUGA